GACGAACGCUGGCGGCGUGCUUAACACAUGCAAGUCGAACGGAAAGGCCUGCUUUCCCUUGUGGAUUGCGGGUACUCGAGUGGCGAACGGGUGAGUAACACGUGAGUGAUCUGCCCCCAACUCGGGUAUAAGCCUGGGAAACUGGGUCUAAUUCCCGAUAGGACUGCAGGGUGGUGCCUGUGGUGGAAAACGAUUUUCUAGUGGUUGGGGAUGAGCUCGCGGCCUAUCAGCUUGUUGGUGGGGUAAUGACCUACCAAGGCGGCGACGGGUAGCCGGCCUGAGAGGGUGGACGGCCACAUUGGGACUGAGAUACGGCCCAGACUCCUACGGGAGGCAGCAGUGGGGAAUAUUGCACAAUGGGCGGAAGCCUGAUGCAGCGACGCCGCGGGGGGGAUGACGGCCUUCGGGUUGUAAACUCCUUUCGACCGCGAGGAAGCCACCUGGUUGGAAGGGUGGUGACGGUAGUGGUAGAAGAAGCACCGGCUAACUACGUG
rnacentral:rRNA from 1 species